GACAGAGGGUGCAAACGUUGUUCGGAAUUACUGGGCGUAAAGGGCGCGUAGGCGGCCCGCUAAGUCGAACGUGAAAUCCCUGGGCUCAACCCAGGAACUGCGUCCGAUACUGGCAGGCUUGAAUCCGGGAGAGGGAUGCGGAAUUCCAGGUGUAGCGGUGAAAUGCGUAGAUAUCUGGAGGAACACCGGUGGCGAAGGCGGCAUCCUGGACCGGCAUUGACGCUGAGGCGCGAAAGCCAGGGGAGCAAACGGG
rnacentral:rRNA from 1 species